rnacentral:rRNA from 1 species
CCUGGCGGCCGUAGCGCGGUGGUCCCACCUGACCCCAUGCCGAACUCAGAAGUGAAACGCCGUAGCGCCGAUGGUAGUGUGGGGUCUCCCCAUGCGAGAGUAGGGAACUGCCAGGA